rfam:Xanthobacter autotrophicus Py2, complete genome.
UGCCGCUGCCCUCCUUGGGCGUUUCCUCCCUAGACUUGGACCGCUCCGGCAACGUGAGCGGUCCCUUUCUUUUUGGGCC